rnacentral:rRNA from 1 species
AACGAACGCUGGCGGCAUGCCUAACACAUGCAAGUCGAACGAGACCUUCGGGUCUAGUGGCGCACGGGUGCGUAACGCGUGGGAAUCUGCCCCUUGGUUCGGAAUAACAGCGAGAAAUUGCUGCUAAUACCGGAUAAUGACGUAAGUCCAAAGAUUUAUCGCCAAGGGAUGAGCCCGCGUAGGAUUAGCUAGUUGGUGGGGUAAAGGCUCACCAAGGCGACGAUCCUUAGCUGGUCUGAGAGGAUGAUCAGCCAC